UGGGGAAUAUUGGGCAAUGGGGGAAACCCUGACCCAGCGACGCCGCGUGAGGGAAGAAGGUUUUCGGAUUGUAAACCUCUGUCUUCGGGGAUGAAUAAUGACAGUACCCGAGGAGGAAGCCACGGCUAACUACGUGCCAGCAGCCGCGGUAAUACGUAGGUGGCAAGCGUUGUCCGGAAUUACUGGGUGUAAAGGGAGCGUAGGCGGGUACGCAAGUUAAAUGUUAAAUUUAUGGGCUCAACCCAUAAUCGCGUUUAAAACUGCGUAUCUUGAGUGAAGUAGAGGCAGGCGGAAUUCCUAGUGUAGCGGUGAAAUGCGUAGAUAUUAGGAGGAACACCAGUGGCGAAGGCGGCCUGCUGGGCUUUUACUGACGCUGAGGCUCGAAAGCAUGGGGAGCAAACA
rnacentral:rRNA from 1 species